GAUGAACGCUGGCGGCGUGCUUAACACAUGCAAGUCGAACGGAAAGGCUCUUGCUUGCAGGGGUACUCGAGUGGCGAACGGGUGAGUAACACGUGGGUGAUCUGCCCUGCACUUCGGGAUAAGCCUGGGAAACUGGGUCUAAUACCGGAUAGGACGAUGGUUUGGAUGCCAUUGUGGACAGCUUUUCCGGUGUGGGUUGAGCCCGCGGCCUAUCAGCUUGUUGGUGGGGUAAUGGCCUACCAAGGCAUCGACGGGUCACCGGCCUGUGAGGGUGGACGGCCACAUUGGGACUGAGGGACGGCCCAGACUCCUACGGGAGGCAGCAGUGGGGAAUAUUGCACAAUGGACGCAAGCCUGAUGCAGCGACGCCGCGUGGGGGAUGACGGCCUUCGGGUUGUAAACUCCUUUCGCUAGAGACGAAGCGCAAGUGACGGUACCUGGAGAAGAAGCACCGGCUAACUACGUG
rnacentral:rRNA from 1 species